UAGUCCACGCCCUAAACGAUGUACACUAGUUGUUGCUAUGCUAGACAUAGCAGUAAUGCAGUUAACACAUUAAGUGUACCGCCUGGGGAGUACGGUCGCAAGAUUAAAACUCAAAGGAAUAGACGGGGACCCGCACAAGCGGUGGAGCAUGUGGUUUAAUUCGAUGCAACGCGAAGAACCUUACCAGGGUUUGACAUAAUACGAAUUUCUUUGAAAAAAGGAAGUGCCGUUUGGAACGUAUAUACAGGUGGUGCAUGGCUGUCGUCAGCUCGUGUCGUGAGAUGUUGGGUUAGGUCCCGCAACGAGCGCAACCCUCAUUUUUAGUUGCCUUAUGGAACUCUAAAAAGACUGCCGGUUAUAAACCGGAGGAAGGCGGGGAUGACGUCAAGUCAGCAUGCCCCUUACGUCCAGGGCUACACACGUACUACAAUGGCAAAGACAAAGCGCUGCAAAGCCGCAAGGUGGAGCUAAUCGCAAAAACNUUAGUCUCAGUCCGGAUUGGAGUCUGCAACUCGACUCC
rnacentral:rRNA from 1 species